UAAGGAAUAUUGGACAAUGGACGCAAGUCUGAUCCAGCCAUGCCGCGUGAAGGAUUAAGGCCCUCUGGGUUGUAAACUUCUUUUAUAGGGGACGAAAAAAGGGCUUUCUAGCUCGACUGACGGUACCCUAUGAAUAAGCACCGGCUAACUCCGUGCCAGCAGCCGCGGUAAUACGGAGGGUGCAAGCGUUAUCCGGAUUCACUGGGUUUAAAGGGUGCGUAGGCGGGCAGUUAAGUCAGUGGUGAAAUCUUCGAGCUCAACUCGGAAACUGCCAUUGAUACUAUCUGUCUUGAAUACUGUGGAGGUGAGCGGAAUAUGUCAUGUAGCGGUGAAAUGCUUAGAUAUGACAUAGAACACCGAUUGCGAAGGCAGCUCGCUACACAAAUAUUGACGCUGAGGCACGAAAGCGUGGGGAUCAAACAGGAUUAGAUACCCUGGUAGUCCACGCCCUAAACUAUGGAUACUCGACAUAUGCGAUACACUGUAUGUGUCUGAGCGAAAGCAUUAAGUAUCCCACCUGGGAAGUACGACCGCAAGGUUG
rnacentral:rRNA from 1 species